AAAUAAAUAAAUAAUUUAAUAUUGUACUUGUUACAGUGAACAGAUGUAUCAGGAAUUGGAUUAUAGGAAUUCCAUUAUGAGAAUGAAGCGUCCCGCUCUGCCACAGGGGACACCUAACAAAAGGCGGAGAGAUGGCGCACCACAACGAAAUAAUCAGAAUGGUGGUGAAGAUAUGGAGACUGACUAGAAGACUUAAUUAACAUAAUAAUAUAAUUUUUGUCACAAUACUUGUAGUAUAAAUAUACUUAAUAUUGAUCUAAUAAAAAUAUUUGUGUCUCUUUCUAAA